AGCGACAGGCUUAACACAUGCAAGUCGAGGGUAACAGGUAGCAAUACCGCUGACGACCGGCGCACGGGUGAGUAACGCGUAUGCAACCUGCCUAUAACUGGGGAAUAGCUCCCUGAAAGGGGAAUUAACACCGCAUAACACUAUUGAUUCGCAUGAAUUGGUAGUUAAAUGUAGCGAUACAGGUUAUAGAUGGGCAUGCGUGACAUUAGCUAGUUGGUGAGGUAACGGCUCACCAAGGCUACGAUGUCUAGGGGUUCUGAGAGGAAGGUCCCCCACACUGGUACUGAGACACGGACCAGACUCCUACGGGAGGCAGCAGUGAGGAAUAUUGGUCAAUGGGCGCAAGCCUGAACCAGCCAUGUCGCGUGCAGGAAGACUGCCCUAUGGGUUGUAAACUGCUUUUAUAGUAGAAGAAACACAUCUACGAGUAGAUGUCUGCCAGUAUACUAUGAAUAAGCAUCGGCUAACUCCGUGCCAGCAGCGGC
rnacentral:rRNA from 1 species